rnacentral:rRNA from 1 species
GACGAACGCUGGCGGCGUGCUUAACACAUGCAAGUCGAACGGAAAGGCCCUGCUUUUGUGGGGUGCUCGAGUGGCGAACGGGUGAGUAACACGUGAGUAACCUGCCCUUGACUUUGGGAUAACUUCAGGAAACUGGGGCUAAUACCGGAUAGGAGCUCCUGCUGCAUGGUGGGGGUUGGAAAGUUUCGGCGGUUGGGGAUGGACUCGCGGCUUAUCAGCUUGUUGGUGGGGUAGUGGCUUACCAAGGCUUUGACGGGUAGCCGGCCUGAGAGGGUGACCGGCCACAUUGGGACUGAGAUACGGCCCAGACUCCUACGGGAGGCAGCAGUGGGGAAUAUUGCACAAUGGGCGGAAGCCUGAUGCAGCAACGCCGCGUGCGGGAUGACGGCCUUCGGGUUGUAAACCGCUUUCGCCUGUGACGAAGCGUGAGUGACGGUAAUGGGUAAAGAAGCACCGGCUAACUACGUGCCAGCAGCCGCGGUGAUACGUAGGGUGCGAGCGUUGUCCGGAUUUAUUGGGCGUAAAGGGCUCGUAGGUGGUUGAUCGCGUCGGAAGUGUAAUCUUGGGGCUUAACCCUGAGCGUGCUUUCGAUACGGGUUGACUUGAGGAAGGUAGGGGAGAAUGGAAUUCCUGGUGGAGCGGUGGAAUGCGCAGAUAUCAGGAGGAACACCAGUGGCGAAGGCGGUUCUCUGGGCCUUUCCUGACGCUGAGGAGCGAAAGCGUGGGGAGCGAACAGGCUUAGAUACCCUGGUAGUCCACGCUGUAAACGGUGGGUACUAGGUGUGGGGUCCAUUCCACGGGUUCCGUGCCGUAGCUAACGCUUUAAGUACCCCGCCUGGGGAGUACGGCCGCAAGGCUAAAACUCAAAGGAAUUGACGGGGCCCCGCACAAGCGGCGGAGCAUGCGGAUUAAUUCGAUGCAACGCGUAGAACCUUACCUGGGUUUGACAUGGAUCGGGAGUGCUCAGAGAUGGGUGUGCCUCUUUUGGGGUCGGUUCACAGGUGGUGCAUGGCUGUCGUCAGCUCGUGUCGUGAGAUGUUGGGUUAAGUCCCGCAACGAGCGCAACCCUUGUUCACUGUUGCCAGCACGUUAUGGUGGGGACUCAGUGGAGACCGCCGGGGUCAACUCGGAGGAAGGUGGGGAUGACGUCAAGUCAUCAUGCCCCUUAUGUCCAGGGCUUCACGCAUGCUACAAUGGCUGGUACAGAGAGUGGCGAGCCUGUGAGGGUGAGCGAAUCUCGGAAAGCCGGUCUCAGUUCGGAUCGGGGUCUGCAACUCGACCUCAUGAAGUCGGAGUCGCUAGUAAUCGCAGAUCAGCAACGCUGCGGUGAAUACGUUCCCGGGGCU